rnacentral:rRNA from 1 species
GGCUCAGGAUUAACGCUAGCGGCAUGCCUAAUACAUGCAAGUCGAACGAAAGUAGCAAUACUUUAGUGGCGAACGGGUGAGUAACACGUAUCUAACCUACCAUUUAGUGAGGAAUAACUUUUGGAAACAACAGCUAAUACCGCAUAUGUUAUUUAUUUGCAAUGAUAAAUAAUGAAAGGAGCAUUUGCUUCGCUAAUUGAUGGGGAUGCGGCGCAUUAACUAGUUGGUAAGGUAAUGGCUUACCAAGGUAACGAUGCGUAGCCGAUCUGAGAGGAUGAACGGCCACAUUGGGACUGAGACACGGCCCAAACUUCUACGGAAGGCAGCAGUAGGGAAUUUUUCACAAUGGGCGAAAGCCUGAUGGAGCAAUGCCGCGUGACUGAUGAAGGUCUUCGGAUUGUAAAAGUCUGUUGUAAGAGAAGAAGUGCUAGAAUAGGAAAUGAUUUUAGUAUCGACCAUACCUUACCAGAAAGCCACGGCUAAAAA